rnacentral:rRNA from 1 species
UACGUAGGGUGCGAGCGUUAAUCGGAAUUACUGGGCGUAAAGCGUGCGUAGGCGGUUCUCCAAGUCCGUUGUGAAAGCCCCGGGCUCAACCUGGGAACUGCGCUCGAAACGGCGGGACUAGAGUUCGGGAGAGGAGAGUGGAAUUCCCAGUGUAGAGGUGAAAUGCGUAGAGAUCGGGAGGAACACCAGUGGCGAAGGCGGCGAUCUGGGCAGAUACUGACGCUGAGGUGCGAAAGCGUGGGGAGCAAACAGG